AAGGCCUAUACCCACAUCCUCCAGUAAUCCACAUUGCUAGCGUCAAUGAUGGGCCAUACAUGCUCUCUGUCCUCACUUAUUAAAAGAAUCUAGGAUCCGGCCAAAGUGGAAAGAAAUCAGAAAGUGGAAGAGGAGGAGAAAGUGGAAGAGGAGGAGAAAAAGGAUGACGAGGAGGAGUCGGCAAAAGAAUCAUGGUCCCAUUCAUUCAUUCUUCAAGCAUUUACAAGCAGCUCUCACGUGCGUGGCUCUGGACCUAAAGGAGACCUGACACCCCCUCCGCCACUCUAAACCCUACCCCCGCCUCGCCCUGCCCCAGGAGAGAUAAUGGUUGGGGCAAGUGAAGGAUGCAAUCGGAGAUUUGAUGCCAGAUUCACCCAGCAAGGGUAGGACCUGACCUAACCAUCCGGCCACUACACAGAUCCUGGCUCUGAAAAGGAGCUUUCUGGAUACGCCCCUUCUAAAAUCCCAGCCAGGAGCCGGGCCCUCGUCUGGUCCCGCCUAUCCUUACACUGAGACACGCCUCCUCAUUAACUCCUCCAUUUCAUUCAGCUCUUGGCCUUAAGUCCUACCGCCCAGGACGCCAACCUCAUUCCCAGUCUCAUGACUCCAUUGGUCAAAUACAAGAGCCCGCCUUCCAUCAGUAA